GGAUGUGAGGGCGAUCUGGCUGCGACAUCUGUCACCCCAUUGAUCGCCAGGGUUGAUUCGGCUGAUCUGGCUGGCUAGGCGGGUGUCCCCUUCCUCCCUCACCGCUCCAUGUGCGUCCCUCCCGAAGCUGCGCGCUCGGUCGAAGAGGACGACCAUCCCCGAUAGAGGAGGACCGUUCUUCGGUCAAGGGUAUACGAGUAGCUGCGCUCCCCUGCUAGAACCUCCAAACAAGCUCUCAAAUGUAGAUCUUCAUAUUCACCAUUAUGUGUAAAAUUUUGAAAACAGGAACAGAAACUUAAGCUAUGCUAAGGUAAACACUUAAUAAUCCCAUUACAAAUGUAGCCCAGUGGUACAGU
ensembl:misc_RNA 7SK 7SK RNA